CCCUCACUAUUUACUCAGUCCCUUUUUAAUCAAGCACCUCCUGUUGUUGAGAAAUUCCUGUUUGCUCUUCCUGAAUCCAGAGGCAAAUCCUCCCUCGUCCCCUUCCCAGAUGGCAGCACCUUAAGGAAACACCUGCUAAUUCCAGCCCUAAUUCCUGGGAGCUGAUCCAUGAAUCCCUCCAUCCCAGGGAGCUAUGAAUGCUUCAAUCCUGGGAGCUCAUUCCUAAAUCCCUUAAUCCCAGGACCUCAUCCGUGACUUCCUCAAUCCCUGGAGCUCAUCCAGGAAUCCAUCAAUGCCGGGAGCUGAUCCAUAAAUCCCUCCAUCCUGAGAUCCAUAAACACCUUCAUCACAGGAGCUCAUCCAUAAAUCCCUGUGGGGUCUGGGGUAUCUGCACAGCCAGGGGGUCAUCCACAGGGACAUCAAGGCCGGGAACAUCCUCCUGUCGCUCCCUGGACUGGUCAAACUGGGCUACUUCAGCUCGGCCCCCGUGGCCUCCCCAGCCAAUUCCUUUGUGGGGACCCCUUACUGAAGCACUUUGGUUAACAAAGAACCUGACAGCAUGUUGGCCCACAUGUUUAAAGAUAAAGGGGAGUAUAUUGAAAUAAACUUUAUUUAUUUGAAGUAAUAAAUUAGCAAAGUAGGCCAAAGGCACUGUCAAGCUGAGAAUCUAAAAUAUCAAAAAUAUAUUAAAGUACCAAAGCAGAAGAUAGAAUUAUUCUUUUAAUAAUUCUUUAUUUCUCUGUUGCCCACCUGUUUAUCAUCUCACAAAGUGAAAAUUCAACUUCCCUCCACAGUUAGUAUUUUG